rnacentral:rRNA from 1 species
AUGGCGUCGGCGGCGCCGCCCGCCGCCGCACCCGGCCGCCCCCAUCCGACCUACACCAACGCAAGCUCCCUCUCCUCUCCUCUCCUCUCCUUGGAGAUGAUUACUUACGCGCUCGCCCAGCUGGGAGGCGCCUCCGCCCGCUCCGCCAUCGCCGGAUUCAUCGCCGCGCGCUUCACCGGCCUCCCCGUCAGCCACGACGCGCUCCUCUCCGCCCACCUCCGCCGCCUCGUCGCCGAGGGCCUCCUCUGCACCUCCGGAUUCUCCUACUUCUUCUCCUCCCACCACUCGCCGACCAGGCCACCGGAGAGUAACAGUCCCGAUUCCGAUUCGGAUGAUCCAUCAACUGGGAGGUUCCACUUCCUCCAGAGUAGCAGUAGCAGUAGCAGUGAGGAGGAGGAGGACGAAGAUGAUGCUGCCUACACGCCUCUGCCUGUGCAUGUGCAUGUGCCUGUUCCUGUGCUGGGAGAGAAGCGGGGCCGGGGCCGCCCGCGGAAGAAGGUUGUGGUUAUGCUGUCUGCUCACACCACCACUGCUGCUGCAACGCCUGGAGAACCCUGUCCUGCUCCUGCUCCUGCUCCUGUAAAGGGAGAGCAUUCUGGUGCUGCUGCAAAGGGAAAGGGGUCUGUGCUAUCUCUAUCUGGGGAUGCAGCUUACUCGGUGACUAAGCGAGGCCGUGGGAGACCAAGGAAGCUACACCAAGUUGCGCCGCCGUCCCCCUCACCCUCACCCUCACCCUCACCCUCACCGGGAGCAGGAGAUGAUCCACCGUCAACCGGUGGCAUCAUCAAGAUCAAGAUCAAGAGAGGGCGUGGGAGGCCGAGAAAGGAGGACCAACAAUCAAGAUCACAGGAAGCAACAACAAAGACUCUUCCAACUCCACCUGCGUCAAGGCGGCGGGGGAUCAAGGUAGGGUGUGGGAGACCAAUGCUAGCUCCUACAGGGCCUCCUGGGAGUUGGAGGCCACUAAUAAUAGACAAGCACCCACCAGAAACUGCAGCAAGGUGCUCUGUUGUUGAUGCUACGCCGUCGGUAAUCAAGAGACCGCGCGGGAGGCCAAGAAUGUACAGACCAUCCGCUCCUGAAACUGGAGAUGCAGCACCUGCUCCUCAAACUGGAGAUGCUGCAUUGAUGGGAGUCAAGAGAGCAGCUCAUGGUUGGCCAAUAAAGGAGAACCCAGCAGCAGCAGCAGCAGCAGCAAUGUCUGGUGAAACUGGAAAUGCUGCAUCGGCCGGAAUCAAGAUAGGGGAAGUGGAGAAUCCAACAGCAGCAAUAUCUGCUGAAGCCGGGGAUGUUGGGUCAACGGGAAUCAAGAGAGGGGGUGAGCAACUAGAAGUGGAAAUGCCAGCAGCAGCAAGGCCCGCUGAAGCUGGAGAUGCAACGCCUGCUGAAUUAACUGGAGGUGCUGCGUCAACGGGGAUCAAGAGAGGGCGUGGGAGGCCAAGAAAGGACAAGACAGCAGCAGCAGCAGCAAUGCCUGCUGACGCUGGGUCUGCGGGGAUCAAGAGAGGGCGUGGGAGGCCAGGAAAAGAGAAGCCAGCAGCAGCAGACUUGUUGGCUGAAACUGAAGCUGGAGAUGCCGUGUCAACUGGGAUGAAGGGGGCGCUUGAGAAUCCAAUAUCAGGUUAUGUCGUGUCAACUGGAAGCAAGGAAGCACUUAGAACGGAGAAGCCAUCGACAGGUGAUUUUGUGUCGAUGGUAAUGAAGAGAAAGAGAGGGCGUGGGAGGCCAAGGAAAGAGCAGCUGGCCUUCCUUUGA